GACGAACGCUGGCGGCGUGCUUAACACAUGCAAGUCGAACGGUAAGGCCCUUCGGGGUACACGAGUGGCGAACGGGUGAGUAACACGUGGGUGAUCUGCCCUGCACUUCGGGAUAAGCCUGGGAAACUGGGUCUAAUACCGGAUAGGACCACUGCCUGCAUGGGUGGUGGUGGAAAGCUUUUGCGGUGUGGGAUGGGCCCGCGGCCUAUCAGCUUGUUGGUGGGGUGAUGGCCUACCAAGGCGACGACGGGUAGCCGGCCUGAGAGGGUGGCCGGCCACACUGGGACGGAGAUACGGCCCAGACUCCUAGGGGAGGCAGCAGUGGGGAAUAUUGCACAAUGGGCGCAAGCCUGAUGCAGCGACGCCGCGUGAGGGAUGACGGCCUUCGGGUUGUAAACCUCUUUCAGCACCGACGAAGCGCAAGUGACGGUAGGUGCAGAAGAAGGACCGGCCAACUACGUGCCAGCCGCCGCCGUAA
rnacentral:rRNA from 1 species